rnacentral:rRNA from 1 species
CAGUAGCCACGGUAAUACGUAGGGUGCGAGCGUUAAUCGGAAUUACUGGGCGUAAAGCGUGCGCAAGCGGCUUUGUAAGACAGGCGUGAAAUCCCCGGGCUUAACCUGGGAAUGGCGCUUGUGACUGCAAGGCUAGAGUGCGUCAGAGGGGGGUAGAAUUCCACGUGUAGCAGUGAAAUGCGUAGAGAUGUGGAGGAAUACCGAUGGCGAAGGCAGCCCCCUGGGCCAAUACUGACGCUCAUGCACGAGAGCGUGGGGAGCAAACAGGAUUAGAUACCCCCGUAGUCCCUGUCUCUUAUAC